UGGGGAAUAUUGCACAAUGGAGGGAACUCUGAUGCAGCGACGCCGCGUGAACGAAGAAGGCUUUCGAGUCGUAAAGUUCUUUUAUAUGGGAAGAUAAUGACGGUACCAUAAGAAGAAGCCCCGGCUAACUACGUUCCAGCAGCCGCGGUAAUACGUAGGGGGCUAGCGUUGUCCGGAAUCACUGGGCGUAAAGGGUUCGCAGGCGGAAAUGCAAGUCAGGUGUAAAAGGCAGUAGCUUAACUACUGUAAGCAUUUGAAACUGCAUAUCUUGAGAAGAGUAGAGGUAAGUGGAAUUUUUAGUGUAGCGGUGAAAUGCGUAGAUAUUAAAAAGAAUACCGGUGGCGAAGGCGACUUACUGGGCUCAUUCUGACGCUGAGGAACGAAAGCGUGGGUAGCAAACAGG
rnacentral:rRNA from 1 species